AGGUAGUUUUGAUAAUUUAUGAUAUUAACAUCUUCUUAAAAACCUAAUUUCAUGAAUAAAUUAGAUUUUCUUGUAAAAAUAAAAAUUUUAAAAAAAUAAAAUUAGAGCAUAUUUAUGAAAAAUAGAUAUUAAUUUAAUUGAUCAAUUUAAGUACCAAAAUAAUAAAAAAAUUUUGAAAAAUUUAAUACAUAUAUUUUUUAUUUUUUAGGCAAAAAUUGGAGCAAAAAUCAAGCCAAAAUAUCUUAAAAAAUAUUGAAAAUUACCUUCGAUGCACAGUAGACUGGCCGUUCGGUCC
rnacentral:lncRNA from 1 species